GCUCAGAAACUUAAAGGAAUUGACGGGACCCGCACAAGCAGCGGAGCAUGUGGUUUAAUUCGAAGCAACGCGAAGAACCUUACCAGAUCUUGACAUCCAAUUGACCAUCUUUUAAUCGAGAUUUUGCCUUCGGGUACAAUUGAGACAGGUGGUGCAUGGUUGUCGUCAGCUCGUGUCGUGAGAUGUUGGGUUAAGUCCCGCAACGAGCGCAACCCUUGCCUUUAGUUGCCAGCAGUUCGGCUGGGCACUCUAAAGGGACUGCCGGUGUUAAACCGGAGGAAGGUGGGGAUGACGUCAAGUCCUCAUGGCCUUUAUGACCAGGGCUACACACGUACUACAAUGGCCGAUACAAAGGGCAGCGACACUGCGAGGUGAAGCCAAUCCCGUAAAAUCGGUCUCAGUCCGGAUUGGAGUCUGCAACUCGACUCCAUGAAGUUGGAAUCGCUAGUAAUCGUGGAUCAGCAUGCCACGGUGAAUACGUUCCCGGGCCUU
rnacentral:rRNA from 1 species